UUUAAAAUGAUUUGAGAGGUUAUGAGUGGAUACACUUUUUGUGAAACCUUUUAACAAAAUUAAUUAUUGUAUCAAUUACACAAAAAUGUGAAUAAUUUAGUGUUCCACAAAAAUUUAUUCAAACUAUUUGAAUACUGGGAAUAUUUUUAUGUUUUACAGGAAAAAUGGUAAAAUUAACAACUAAGAAAAUGUGCAUUUUCACAGUUUUCUAGAAUUUUGCAAUAUGAAUUAAUUACUUGAAAACAUGUACAAAGAGAAUAAAUGUUAUCAUGCUUCUCUUUUGCAUUUGAAUUAUUAAAAUACCAGUAACGCUAUAAGUCUUUUUUGAGGAACUGGAAAGAAGUUUAGGAAUCUGCAUGCUGAGCCCUUUUGUUACUUGUGUUUAUCUUUAUUUAUUAAGUAUUUAUUUAUUUAUAUGUAUUUUUAUUUUUGAGAAAUGAAAGUGUCAAAACAAGGGGUGGGGAUUCAGGGGAUUACACAGGUCAGGUGUUGUAUUUGUAAUUCAAAGACAGAAGACUGAUUGAUUGUCUUAUUGCCAAAAUUUUGGGGCCUUACUCUCAAGAACCUGAUUGCAAGAGAUGGGUCUGGAAUCCACACUGAACAAAGAAUUUCUUUUAAAACUGUGUGUUUAAUUUCAAACAAUGAAAUGGAAGGGAAAAAUAAACUUUUGUAAUCAUUUUUUUAUCAAACUAUUUAAUAAAAUGUGCUUUUGUAAUAAAAAAUCUGAAAAGAAAUCAAGAA